rnacentral:tRNA from 1 species
GCCUCCCUAGCUCAGCUGGUAGAGCAACUGAUUUGUAAUCAGUAGGUCGCCGGUUCGAUUCCGGCGGGGGGCUCCA